CUGCUGCCUCCCGUAGGAGUCUGGGCCGUGUCUCAGUCCCAGUGUGGGGGGCCUUCCUCUCAGAACCCCUACGCAUCGUCGCCACGGUGGGCCGUCACCCCGCCGUCUAGCUAAUGCGCCGCAUGCCCAUCCGCCACCGGAUCGCUCCUUUGGCCACCGGAGGAUGCCCUCCGGUGGCGUCACGGGGUAUUAGGCCGCGUUUCCGCGGGUUAUCCCCCUGUGGCGGCCAGGUUGCAUACGUGUUACUCACCCGUGCGCCGGUCGCCGGCGG
rnacentral:rRNA from 1 species